rnacentral:rRNA from 1 species
ACUCAAUAGAUACCCUGGUAGUCCACGCCGUAAACGAUGAUGACUAGCUGUCUGGGCGCUUAGCGUUCAGGUGGCGCAGCUAACGCGUUAAGUCAUCCGCCUGGGGAGUACGGCCGCAAGGUUAAAACUCAAAGAAAUUGACGGGGGCCUGCACAAGCGGUGGAGCAUGUGGUUUAAUUCGAAGCAACGCGCAGAACCUUACCAGCGUUUGACAUGGUAGGACGGUUUCCAGAGAUGGAUUCCUUUCCUUACGGGACCUACACACAGGUGCUGCAUGGCUGUCGUCAGCUCGUGUCGUGA